UGCCUCUUAUUCUUCUCGAAUUCAUCUUUUUCAUCGAUUUCAUUUCUUUCAUUGAUAUCCUCAUAGUUGAUUUUGGCGAUGAGAAGCUUUCACGGUAUACAUCACUCGCUUAAAAUCAUAGUUGAAACACCCAUCUCACACAUCCUCUAUCGAAUCUUGUUUUUGGGCGAAGGGUUUGGGUUAGGGUUUAUGGAAGCCGAUUUUGGGGUUAUGGUUGUGAAUUUCUUCAAAGAUGGUGAUUUUGGAAGCUUCAAAAUCUGGUGUUAGGGUUUAAUUCUCAGAAUUCUUGCAGAAUUAGGCCAUAACUCCGGUGGACUUGCCUCUCUGAAUUAAAUCAGGGCUAUUUUAGUACUAGUUACUCCAUGGGAGAGGUAUUUCUAAUUACUCUUUUCUGAAUUCUUUGGUUUAAUUUGGAAAAAGUUGAUUGAACGUGUUCAGAUUUGUACCAUCUCUGCAAAAUUUAAAACGUGAAAAAGCUAAAGAUUUCAAUCUAAAAGAGUGAUUAGAGAUACUCUAGUUUGAUUUCUUUGUGAUAUUCGUCUGUUUAAUUGGAUUCUCUUUUGGUCAAGUCUUUAGUCUUACAAUGUUUGCAGUCUUAAGCAAUGAUUUUAGGGCAAAAAAAUAUUGGAAUGUGAAAUUGGACAGUUGGUUUUGAUAAGAAAAAUAUAUUUUCAUUGUAAAAUAAGAAGAACAGUGAGAAGGAAUACAAGCCAAGCAUGUUCUGCUCAUAGCAAGGAUGCUCCUAUGCUUGUUGUUGGUGUCAAUGAGAAGGAAUACUAGCAAAACUCCAACAUUGUUUCUGAUGCAAGUUGUGCUACUAGCUACCUUGCUCUUUGGUAAAGGUUCCCUUUUUGUUUCUUGCCCUGUUCUUCAUUUUAACGUUUGAACAUUUAAGUGAAAUUUUAAUAAUUCCUCAACUUGACCCGACUUUAGAAGUUAGUCAUGACAAAUUCGGAACGAUUAGAGGGUCUUAUGACCACAGUCCACUCCAUAAUAUUUCAAAUAGUUCUACUCGUAUGUUAACUUUAAAUACAACCUAUGUUGUUUCGUACUGAAGUUGUUGUCAUUUGUAUAAUUCAUCACUCAGAGAAAACUGUUGGACAUCCGAGAGGAUUGGAGAGGUGGAAGAGCUACUUCAUUCAACAUUAUUCCUAGUAGUACUAGAGCUAUUAAAAUUGUGGGAAAGAUGAAACCAAUGGAAAGACAUCCAAGUUACAACUAUUGAUGUCCCUGUGGUUGAUCUCACUGUGUGGUUGGAGAUAGAAACAUAUGAUAUCAAGUAAGAUUGUGUAGUUUACUCUUUUUACCCCCCCUCUCUCUUUUUCCCUGAAAAAUAUCAAUAACUUGUGUGCUUUAUUCUAUCCUGGCAUGUGUACACUACAAACCUCCCUCUGUGGAUCUAAUUUUUGCAAACAAAGAAGUAACAAUGAUGGGCAAAAUAGUAGUGGAGGACUUAUGGCCAUGUGGGCUGCUCAUUUAUAUUUCUACGUUGACAUUUUAUUAGCGAGGAGUUUGAAAGAAUCUUGAAGGAAGUUCUAAGUUGUACUGAAAUUUCCUUUAUUGUGUACCACACUAGAGAGCCGACGUGUUAAUUUUAAAGAUUUGUAAUUUAAAUCAAAAUGAUAUGCAAACUAGUAAACUAGUUGCCAGGUAGCUAAUAGGUAAAAGUAUCUACAAUUAAUCAUUAAACUUUGGUUUCUUGCAAGUACAAUUUUUUUUUUUUUUUAGUUUUCUUUAGGGUAAGACCCGUAGAAAGAUCAAGACUAGUUAUACAUGUUUAACUGAUCUUACAUGGUUAAGUCAUUUUGUGACAAUAUCUAUGGUUAUAUAAAAUGGAAGAGGGGAAUACAUAAUUGGAACCCCCUAUUCACAAACUUUGAAUUUGUAGAAUAAAGCUAUAUUUUGUGAAUGUUGCUAUUUUAGUGAGUCUUUUUUCUCGUUAAAUACAUGUGUUGUGCUUGUGCAUUUUUCAUAUUUAGAAAAGCUUUUGAGAAUAAUUGCAUUUGUAGUGACAUGAAAGUAUAUAGGCUAUUAUUUUCAAGCUUUAUUCAUCAUUUUUUACAUAACUAGAGGUCAUGUGACUGCACAUUGAGAUAAUUUUGUUUGUCUUGUAAAAUGUGUAACUUUCCUGUUCUAAGAAUCAUAAUUGUUGAAUAACCAGGUAAAAACCAAGUCACAAAUGUAGCUCUAUUUAGAGAGAAGUAGUUUCAAGUCCUUUUAAUAACAUUAGUAUCUGGCAAAAUAACAGUCUGAUUCUAGGCAAAAUUUGUUAAUUCGAUAAGAAUUGAUUAGUACUUAGUAGUAUUUUUUUAAAAGAUUUGCUUUAGAUGCAUAAUGCUUAAAGUAGAGCAAUCAUGAUGAUAAAUUCGUCCACUUGUUUUUCCUUUUCUUUUUUGCCUGGCAUGGUCCUUUGGUUAGUCUGUUAAAUUGCUUAGUUCUUUUUAAUCUGAUGCCAACUGGUAAAACUGACCUGAAUCCCAUGCUUAUAUAACUGAUAUGUGUUAAAAUUGACAAUAUCAUCAUCAUCAUCGUGGACUCUCACUUUUGGUAGAGAUUUCUACUAACUAUCUGCGCCAAGCUCGAUCAUUGCCAUGUGUUUAUAUUGAGUGGCUUUGUGUUUCUUAUUUUCUUUGGUUGUUUGUCGGUGGAGUUUGGAUAAAGCUGAAUGAAGUAGAGAUAGAAAAGUGCAUGACACUCCAGCGAAAACCCCUGAAGAGACACGAGCAACUGUCGUCAUUCCAUCUUAGCACUUUGAGUCGAUGGUGAAGGCGAAGCACUAAUUGGAGCAAUUUUCGAAGCCCCAAUUUAUUGAAAGGAUAGAACUCCGGAAUUGUUAGAGAACCAGUGAUCACAAUAAUAAUUACAUUUGAUCAGAUGGAUGUUGCAGCUCGAAUGUAUUACGAGACCAUGGAAGGAAAAGAUGAAGAGAAGACUUUAUGGUCAUGGGUCUCAAGGGAAAUUAUAUUAUGAGCUUGGUCCUACUUUCGAUUCUGAUGAACAUCACUCUCCAGCAGCACAUUUCUUAGCUUUGUCUUUUCAAAUUCCGUUCUAUCUGUUGAAGAAUAAGUUUGAAUGUUGAUGCUUUAGAAUUUAUGUAUUUUUGGAUCUACUUGUUAAUGUUUAGAUUACUAUUUAUAUGAAAGUGGAUUCUUGUAA